UACGAAGGGGGGCUAGCGUUGCUCGGAAUUACUGGGCGUAAAGCGCACGUAGGCGGCUUUCUAAGUCGGGGGGUGAAAUCCUGGAGCUCAACUCCAGAACUGCCUUCGAUACCGGAGAGCUUGAGUCCGGGAGAGGUGAGUGGAACUGCGAGUGUAGAGGUGAAAUUCGUAGAUAUUCGCAAGAACACCAGUGGCGAAGGCGGCUCACUGGCCCGGUACUGACGCUGAGGUGCGAAAGCGUGGGGAGCAAACAGG
rnacentral:rRNA from 1 species